CAGCCGCCGCGGGAAUACGGAGGGUGCAAGCGUUAAUCGGAAUUACUGGGCGUAAAGCGCACGCAGGCGGUUUGUUAAGUCAGAUGUGAAAUCCCCGAGCUUAACUUGGGAACUGCAUUUGAAACUGGCAAGCUAGAGUCUUGUAGAGGGGGGUAGAAUUCCAGGUGUAGCGGUGAAAUGCGUAGAGAUCUGGAGGAAUACCGGUGGCGAAGGCGGCCCCCUGGACAAAGACUGACGCUCAGGUGCGAAAGCGUGGGGAGCAAACAGGAUUAGAUACCCGGGUAGUCCCUGUCUCUUAUAC
rnacentral:rRNA from 1 species